GAGAGAGAGAGAGAGAGAGAGACAACUGAGAUGACGGGAGGGAGGACUAACGUAGUGCUUCCUCCCUUCCAGGAUGCACAGAGCCAGAGGAAUUCCCCGGCCUCUUGAUGGUGCCCAGACACUAACCACAACCAGCAGCUCUGUUAAAGGUGUUCUGAGAAACGCAUGUGCCAGGAAUUGUCUGAACUUUCAGAGAAGAGCAGCUAGCUCAUGAGAGGCUUCCUAUCAGUGGAGAUACCUUUCGAGGUCAGCUUCAUUGUGAACCAAGUAGAAAGUCCACACCCCAAGAAGGCACAGAGAUGUCCAGAGGCUUAUUUUCUGUGAUGCAAGAUCUAAUCUGGGGGUUGGGUGACCUCGAAAGAAGGGGCUGUUCAUUUCUCCAAGAUCUGACACCAACCCUGAAGUGUUCUGUGACAUCACAUAGAUGGGGGAAGUCCUGCAGAUGUGUUCCCACAUGAAAGGACCUGAGAAGUUCUCACCAACAGAAGCUGUUACACUGUGUGAUUUGGACAUAAAGGAGCCUCUCUAAUGUAUGACUAGUGAUUAGCAUCCUAUGGCAUACUAUCUGAGAAGUAACAAUAAAAUCAUUCCUUUUCUGAGA